GCCGGGAUAGCUCAGGUAGUUAGAGCGAAGGACUCAUAAGCCUUAGGUCGGGGGUGCAAAUCCCUCUCCCGGCACCA
rnacentral:tRNA from 1 species